rnacentral:snoRNA from 1 species
UUGAACGAUGCAAACCCUGGGCUUCUCCUACAUUUUUCAUGAAGAUGAAUGCCCCAAUGCCUGUGCAAUGUGAAUCACCUGUUGAGUGUUGCAGGUUUGCCGAUCUAUCGGUACUUGUGUCAAAGCAACAACAACAUCU